CGAAAUGCGAUAAGUAAUGUGAAUUGCAGAAUUCAGUGAAUCAUCGAAUCUUUGAACGCACCUUGCGCUCCUUGGUAUUCCUUGGAGCAUGCCUGUUUGAGUAUCAUGAAAUCUUCAAAGUAAAUCUUUUGUUAACUCAAUUGGUUUCUACUUUGGUAUUGGAGGUCUUUGCAGCUUCACACCUGCUCCUCUUUGUUCAUUAGCUGGAUCUCAGUGUUACGCUUGGUUCCACUCGGCGUGAUAAGUUAUCUAUCGCUGAGGACACUGUAAAAGGUGGCCAAGGUAAAUGCAGAUGAACCGCUUCUAAUAGUCCAUUGACUUGGACAAUACUUUUAUGAUCUGAUCUCAAAUCAGGUAGGACUACCCGCUGAACUUAAGC
rnacentral:misc_RNA from 1 species